UACGUAGGGGGCAAGCGUUGUCCGGAUUUAUUGGGCGUAAAGAGCUCGUAGGUGGUUCGGUAAGUCGGAUGUGAAAUCUCCAGGCUCAACCUGGAGGGGUCAUUCGAUACUGCCGUGACUAGAGGUCGGUAGGGGAGUGUGGAAUUCCUGGUGGAGCGGUGAAAUGCGCAGAUAUCAGGAGGAACACCAAUGGCGAAGGCAGCUCGCUGGGACGGUACUGACGCUGAGGCGCGAAAGCGUGGGGAGCGAACAGG
rnacentral:rRNA from 1 species